rnacentral:lncRNA from 1 species
ACAGGGGCCAGCAAAGGGCGAACUUCUGCAGACGAGGACUAUCCAGCCCUAGGGGUACGGGAGAGGGAAAGACGAGGCCGAGAGGGACCCUGACUUUGCAGCAGGGUGUCUGGGCAUUGGUGGCUCCACCUGCAGAACCAAAAGAAUCCACCAGGUCUGAUGGGCAAAGGUUCCUCCUCCCCUGCUGCAGCUAACAUGGAGGACUUGCAUGGAGAUGGUGGAGUCACAGGAUGAACACAGGCUAAGUCACUACCUGGAGGACAGCUGCCUGGACAGUCACCUGGAUCGCAGUGGACUGCAUGAAUGAAAACAAAGUGAG